CGGCGUGCUUAACACAUGCAAGUCGAACGAACCUUCGGGUUAGUGGCGGACGGGUGAGUAACGCGUGGGAAUCUGCCCUCAGGAGGGGGAUAACGGUUGGAAACGGCCGCUAAUACCCCAUAUGCCGAGAGGUGAAAUGAAUUUCGCCUGAGGAUGAGCCCGCGUCUGAUUAGCUAGUUGGUGAGGUAAGAGCUCACCAAGGCAUCGAUCAGUAGCUGGUCUGAGAGGAUGAUCAGCCACACUGGGACUGAGACACGGCCCAGACUCCUACGGGAGGCAGCAGUGGGGAAUUUUCCGCAAUGGGCGAAAGCCUGACGGAGCAACGCCGCGUGAGGGAUGAAGGCCUCUGGGCUGUAAACCUCUUUUAUCAAGGAAGAAGAUCUGACGGUACUUGAUGAAUAAGCCACGG
rnacentral:rRNA from 1 species